rnacentral:rRNA from 1 species
AACGAACGCUGGCGGCAUGCCUAACACAUGCAAGUCGAACGAGACCUUCGGGUCUAGUGGCGCACGGGUGCGUAACGCGUGGGAACCUGCCCUUAGGUUCGGAAUACCUCCCCGAAAGGGGUGCUAAUACCGGAUAAUGUCUUCGGACCAAAGAUUUAUCGCCUUUGGAUGGGCCCGCGUUGGAUUCGCUAGUUGGUAGGGUAAAAGCCUACCAAGGCGAGGAUCCAUAGCUGGUCUGAGAGGAUGAUCAGCCACACUGGGACUGAGACACGGCCCAGACUCCUACGGGAGGCAGCAGUGGGGAAUAUUGGACAAGGGGCGAAAGCCUGAUCCAGCAAUGCCGCGUGAGUGAUGAAGGCCUUAGGGUUGUAAAGCUCUUUUACCCGGGAUGAUAAUGACAGUACCGGGAGAAUAAGCUCCGGCUAACUCCGUG